GGAGAUGUGCUCUAUCUUAUGCUUUGGAAUUCGUUGUUCUAAGUUUCCCCUUUGAGUGUGUUAAUUAGAGUCACAUGAAGGGAGUUAAAUACCCUUGAAUCUCCAACCUAAUAAUCCAAAAGUUUUCUCACUUUCUCACUCGAGCACUACAAGCACUUAAUUCAAAAGACUAAGUCUUCUAAUUAUGCAGCAGACUUAAGUAACAUGAAUUUUCUGAUGCAAUGAAGAUCCAGAAACAGUUUUCUAAUAUACACUGAAACAGUUUUAAGAGUUUUCAUCUGUUUGUUACAGUUUUUGAAUAGCUAGUUCGUCAGUAUUAUGCUUAUUUGAAAACUAGUUCACAGGAAUUAACACCUUGUCAUAAUGUGUUGGCUUAAGUUCUAGAACAAGGUUUUAGCUAAACUGUGUUUUCUGAACUAGUAACAAAAAAUAUUCUUGAGAAGGCCAGUUUCCAAUUUCUGGUUAAAUGAUAAUUUGUGCAAACAAAAGUUCAAUUUUACAAAACUUAAAAUAGAGCAAGGAAGAAAGAAAUGCACAUGGUAUUUAUACUGGUUUCACCCACAAAAGUUUUGGACUAUGUUGAAUCCCCACACAUUGGAUUUUUUACUAUGUAACAAGCCUCCUCAAGCUCCACCUUGAAAUAUUAUUUGUCCUAGAUAGUAGCCUCUCUAGGCUACACAGUACUCACCUCUCAGCCAAUACUAACCAACGUAAUAGCUAGGGAUAAUACCAAAAUACUAUACAAAGACGGGAAUCUAUACUAGAUUACUAGUUAGGUGAAAGAAAGUCAAACAACAGUUAAUUACCCAUUUUGUCCUUCACUUAAUAGACGCCUUCCUUUUGUUUUAAUUGCUAAUACAGUGACUGCAUAGUAGUGCUGAUAUGAUAGGACAGAAACUAAGAAAACCUGGAUAAAAUGAUCAAACAAAAAUAAAUAAGCUGAACCAACGUUGAAAUGGAGAUUAUAGAUUGUAUUGGAUUUUUUACUUUACCAAUGGAGCCAAGCUCUUUACAAGAAAAUAUAGUUGACAAUGGAUGAAAAUGCAACCCAGCCAGACUGCUCUCCCUACGGAGAAAACAACCCUCACCAAGGCAAAGCCUUUCCAUUAUUAUCCAAUUCUUUGCCUCCCCUCCCACUGAACCCCACUUUUCCACUAUAUGAAAAUGUUCUCUAUCUCUCCCUCCACUCUCCGUUUGCUACAUGUCCUUGCUGUUAUCUAAGUAUCUAACUGAUUCUCUCCAUCCCCAAUCUGAUGUUACUGUUUGUCAAAAUCUGUUUCUAUUUUAUUAUUAAAAAUAUCCUCAAGUAUAAGGAUUCGGUUAUAUAGGAGUACUAGUAGGGAUUUAGUUAUAUAUGAGUACUGAUAGGGAUUUGGCUGUAAAGUAAUCUAGUGUGUGUAUAUUUAUAUAUAUAUAUAUAUGUCAACAUAUUUCAAUUUCAAUAAAUAUAUUUUACCCUAAUUCUUAAGAUGGUAUCAGAGCUCUUGGUUUAAGUCUUGCUUCCGCAUAAAUCCUACCCGCCUUUAUUGCAGUAACUUUAGCAACCGCCAUUUUGGCCCUUUGCUGCCUUCAUUGCAGUCUGUUUGUGAUUCCUAAAGUCUGUUUGCUGCCUCCAUUGUCCUGAAACCAGCUGUCACUGCUGUGAACACAAUUUUCGACUUCUCUCACCACUGUUGGCGAUUGUUGACCACUAUACACUGGCCAUAUCACACCACCGCCUACACUAUCAGACUUGCCUCGAAGAAAUUGGCCAAACCCCAGAAAAUCGCCGCCGUCUAAAGCCUGACACGCCGCCACAACUCCGGUGGCCACGUCACGCUUGUAACCCACACGCCGCCCUCCAAUCAGCCGUUCACCACCUUCUUUUCGCAGAUUGUAAAUCGAAGGUUUGCUGUAUGCUUUUGGUGGUUACUUUUCAGAUCGGAGAACUUUGGUCUGUGGGUUCUUUGAAGCGCGCCUUUUUUUCUGAUAAGAAACUUGCUGUUUUUUUUUGUUUUUCAUGCAUGGCUGGAGAAGUAGUGAUUAAUACUGAAACCGAGACUGAAACGGGAAAUAAAAAAUUCCAAGCCGAAUUGCAAAGCAUCUCAUCCGUUCACAAGUUGAAUGGAAAGAACUAUUUGAAGUGAUCUCAACUUGUGCACAUUUUUUUGAAAGGUAAAGGGAUGGCAGAACGCUUAAUAGAUGAAUUCCCCAAAGAAACAGAUCCCAAGUUUUAGUGGUGGGAUAAAGAGGAUUCUAUGAUUAUGGGAUGCAAUGACCUCAGACUCAAAAAUCAAUGACACUUGCAUGUUUCUCAGCACACUGAAGAAGAUUUGGAAGGCAUUAGAAGAUACUUAUUCUAAAGCCAAAGAUGCUGCCCCAAUAUAUGAUGUGAAGGUGAAAACUGGGGCUGCUAAACAAGGAAACAAGACUGUUACUGAGUAUGCAAAUCAUCUCAAAGUUUGUGGAUGGAGUUGGAUCAUUGCAAAGUUAUAAAAGCCAAGUGUUUAGCAGAUGCUUAUUCAAAGAGUUUAUGGAACAAGAUUAAGUCUAUGAUUUUUUGAUGGGACUCAACUCUGAUUUUAAGUUAGAGUGCAAAUCCGUUGUAAUGAGAAGUACCGGGAAUUAAAUAGGUAGUGGCUAUAGUGAGGAGUGAAGAAAGGAGAAGGGGACUAAUGCUGACAGUCCCACCUAUAGAAAGCUCAACAAUGCUAGCUAAGAAGAAUUCAACUAUGAUGGUUGAUCAAAAGAAAGGAGGAGUAACUUAUGUGGAGAAGAAAGGCGAAGGAGUAUGGUGUACCUAUUGCAACAAGCCUUGCCACACUCGUGAAAAAUGUUGCAAAUUGAAUGAGAAGCCACCUACUAGAGAGUGGGGCUCUCAAAACCCAAACAAGGAGUGGGGAAUAAAGGGAGGUCAAGCACACAUAGCUAUAGGUAAUUGUUAAGAAAGUCGAGAAGGUAUGAUGCAACUGAACCAAGAUGAGGUAGAAAAGUUGAGAUCUUUACUCACUAAUUUGGAGACUCUCACAGGACAAGAACUCGGGUAGGAUUGUUGGAAAUGCUAGAGAAUGGAAUGGCCUUUACUAUUUGGAUAAGCAAGACUUAGCUCCGAAGUUACUCAACAACAAAAACUCUUUUUUUUUUUCUUCAGAAUCAAUAAAAACCGUUAGGGAGAAGGUUCUUCUAUACCACUGUUGCCUUGGUCACCCUUCAUUUAGAGUCAUUAAGCAAAUAUUUCUUUUGGCUUUUAAGAAAUUAGAUGUAGACAGUCUUCACCAUGAGGUGGGUGAGUUUGCUAAAUACAAACGUGUACCUUUUCCACUCAAUACUUAAAUAAGUACUUUUCCGUUUUA